rnacentral:rRNA from 1 species
GAUGAAGGCUGGCGGCGUGCCUAAUACAUGCAAGUCGAGCGAACAGACGAGGAGCUUGCUCCUCUGACGUUAGCGGCGGACGGGUGAGUAGCACGUGGAUAACCUACCUAUAAGACUGGGAUAACUUCGGGAAACCGGAGCUAAUACCGGAUAACAUGUUGAACCGCAUGGUUCAACAGUGAAAGACGGUCUUGCUGUCACUUAUAGAUGGAUCCGCGCCGCAUUAGCUAGUUGGUAAGGUAACGGCUUACCAAGGCAACGAUGCGUAGCCGACCUGAGAGGGUGAUCGGCCACACUGGAACUGAGACACGGUCCAGACUCCUACGGGAGGCAGCAGUAGGGAAUCUUCCGCAAUGGGCGAAAGCCUGACGGAGCAACGCCGCGUGAGUGAAGAAGGUCUUCGGAUCGUAAAACUCUGUUAUUAGGGAAGAACAAAUGUGUAAGUAACUAUGCACGUCUUGACGGUACCUAAUCAGAAAGCCACGGCUAACUACGUG